CCUCAUCCUGGCAGGCAGGAGGGGGAGGUAGGUGAUGGGUGGGUCCUGAGCUCCCAGUUCCUGACCCUCCUGGAGGCCCAACACUCACCUCCAGCACAAUGGUGAACUGGCUGGCCCGGUAGUCAUCCCCGUAGGAGUCCAGCACUCUCAUGAGGAACCUGCUCAGGGGGAGAAGCCACCAACGGAAUAACUUAUCUCCUAGCGGCUGGGGAAAAGGGCCACAGGAUAGAGCUCAGCUCCCACUCCACUCAACGCCAAAGCUGUCCUGGAGCCAGACGGUCCUGAGCUCUGGCACUGGAGGCCUGGGAGCCAUGCCCUUGACCAGCCUUGAGACCUCGAGCAAGACAAGGCAACCAUUCUGAGGCUGAGUUUCCUGCUCUGCAAACGACAUGACACCCUCGGCUGGAUGUUGCAGCGGUGACACUGAAGUAGUGACACCAGACGAUUUCUGUACUUAAUGUGAUGUCAGCACUUAGUAAACAUUCAUAUCCCCUGCCUCCAGAGUUCCUUAAGGUUCAAUUGAUGGAAUGCCUCCUCUGCACCAGCACCUGGGCAGUAGAGACGGAGUUUCACCGUGUUAGCCAGGAUGGUCCCGAUCUCCUGACCUCGUGAUCCGCCUGCCUCGGCCUCCCAAAGUGCUGGGAUUACAGGCAUGAUGAGCCACUGCGCCCGGCCUAUUUCAACUUAAGUGAAAAUCUCACCUGUGGCCAGCGGCUACCGUGCUGGACAGCACAGUGCUCAUCUGAGGAGGCAGGACGCAGCCUCUCCGCCUCUUUGCUUAUUCUGCUGACUGACCGCCUCUCCAGCCAGAGCAUGAGCUGAAAAACGACAGCAACUUGUUUCUACAUCCCGUGCCUUAACCAGAGCCUGGCACGUAGUACAUCCUCCAUGAACAUUUGCAGAAUCAAUGACUUUGCAAAGUGAGAAGUGCUUGGUGAAUACCAAAGAGUCAGACAUGCUGGAGGUUAGGGCAGGAGGUGCGACUUUAGUUACGACCUGCAGAGAAGGCCCGUGGGCCCAGACUUGAAUAAGGAGGAGACAAAGGGGUGACAGGAGGAAAGUAUGCCAGGCUGAGGGGACAGCCCUGCACGCAGCUUCUGAGGACUCCAGCCUAGACAUGGAGGGAGAGAUGUGACUCAGCCAAACAGGGACCCAAAGACAGUGGCUGAAGCAGGUGCUGCUCCUGGGUCAGAAAGACCUGAGUUCCGGGCGGGGCACAGUGGCUCACGCCUGUAAUCCCAGCACUUUGGGAGGCCGGGGCGGGCAGAUCACUUGAGGUCAGGAGUUCAAGACCAGCCUGGCCAACAUGGUGAAACCCCGUCUCUACUAAAGAUACAAAAAUUGGCCGGAUGUUGUGGCACAUGCCUGUAAUCUCAGCUACUCAAGAGUUUGAGGUCGGGAGUUCCAGACCAGCCCGGCCAACAUGAUGAGACCUCAUCUCUACUAAAAAAAAAAAAAAAAAAAGAAAAAUACAAAAAUUAGCUGGGUAUGGUGGCGCAUGCCUGUAAUCCCAGUUUCUCAGGAGGCUGAGGCAGGAGAAUCGCUUGAACCCAGGAGCUGGAGGUUGCAGUGAGCCGAGAUCACACCACUGCCCUCCAGCCUGGGUGACAGAGUAAGACUCUGUCUCAAAAGAAAAAAAAAAAAAAAAGUGCCAGGCACGGUGGCUCACGCUUGUAAUCCCAGCACUUUCAGAGGCCAAGGCGAGCGGAUCACCUGAGGUCAGGAGUUUGAGACCAGCCUAACGUGGUGAAACCCUGUCUCUACUAAAAAUACAAAAUUAGCCAGGUGUAGUGGCGCAUGCCUGUAAUCCCAGCUACUCGGGAGGCUGAGGCAGGAGAAUCGCUUGAACCCAGGAGGCGGAGGUUGCAGUGAGCUGAGAUUGCAGCAUUGCACUCCAGCCUGGACAACAAGAGCGAAAAUCCAUCUAAAAAAAAAGAGUUCAAGUUUUGGCUCUGGCUUGGCACAGUGGCUCAUGCCUAUAAUCCCAGCACUUUGAGAGGCCAGGAGUUCGACACCAGCCUGGGCAACAGAGUGAGACCCCAACACUCAAAAACUAACCAAAAAAAUUAGCUGGGCUUGGUGGCUGUAGUCCCAGCUCCUUCGGAGGCUGAGAUUGCUAGAGUCCAGGAUGUUGGGGCUGCAGUGAGCCACAGUCAUGCCACUGCACUCCAGCCUGGGCAACAGAGAAAGACCCUGUCUCAAAAAAAAAAAAAAAUCUCAGAUCUGCCACUGCUGAGCUCUGAGCUUGGGUGCAUUACUUAACCUCUCUGAGCCUUGAUUUUCUAUACUUGUAAAAUAGUAGUAAUCUAUUCCUGGGGGUGGAUUAAUGGCAGAGGCUCCAGUUGAGUCCGUUUGGGCCUUGGUGUCUGUCUGUUAAACAGGGUUUGGAAUAUGCCCCUGGCCUCUAGCCUUCCUCCUUACAGAACUCCCCAAUACUGUCAUUAAGAAUUGAGGCCAGAUGUGGUGGCUCAUGCCUGUAAUCCUAGCAUUUUGGGAGGUCAAGGCGAGUGGAUCACUUGAGGUCAGGAGUUCAAGACCAGCCUGGGCAACAUGGCAAAACCCCAUCUCUACAAAAAGUACAAAAAUUAGCCAGGUGUGGUGGUGUGUGCCUGUAGUCCCAGCUAUUUUGGGGGCUGAGGCAGGAGGACUGCUUGAACCUGGGAGACUGAGGCUGCAAUGAGCUGAGAUUGCGCCACUGCACUCCAGCUUUGGUGACAAAGUGAGAACCUGUCUCAAGAAAGAGAAAAAGAGUUGAAGGCCAGGCGUGGUGGCUCAAGCCUGUAAUCCCAGCACCUUGGGAGGCUGAGGUGGGCAGAUCACCUGAGGUCAGGAGUUUGAGACCAGCCUGACCAACAUGGUGAAACCCUGUCUCUACUAAAAAUAGAAAAAUUAGCUGGGUGUGGUGGCGGGCGCCUGUAAUCCCAGCUACUAGGGAGGCUGAGUCAGGAGAAUCACUUGAACCCAGGAGGUGGAGGUUACAGUGAGCUGAGAUGGUGCCAUUGCACUCCAGCCUGGGAGACAAGAGCGAGACUCCACCUCAAAAAAAAAAAAAAAAAAAAAAAAAAAGUUGAAUUAUUUCCCCCAAAAGAGGGUGUUGAGGCUUUAACCCCCAGUACCUCAGGAUCACCUUAUAUGGAGACAGUGUCGUUACAAAAGUAAUCAAGUUCAAAUGAAGCCAGUGGGUGGGCCCUAAUCCAGUAUGACUGGAGUCCUUAUAAAAAGGGUAAAUUGGGACACAGACACACACACAGGGAGCAGCAAUGUGAAGAUGAAGGCGGAGAUCAGGGUGAUGUUUGUACGUGCCAAUGACUGCCAGAAACCUCCAGAAGCCAGGGGAGAGGCCUGGAAGAUUCUCACAACCCUGUCGACACCUUGCCUUGGAUGUCUAGCCUCCAGAACUGUCAGACAGGAAUUUCUGUGCUUGAGGGACCCUAUUUGUGAUAAGUUCUGGGAGUCCAAGCAGACUAAUACAACUGUCUUCAGAGUU